UACAGAGGUCUCAAGCGUUGUUCGGAUUCAUUGGGCGUAAAGGGUGUGUAGGUGGCGCCGUAAGUCGGGUGUGAAAUUUCGGAGCUUAACUCCGAAACUGCAUUCGAUACUGCGGUGCUUGAGGACUGGAGAGGAGACUGGAAUUCAUGGUGUAGCAGUGAAAUGCGUAGAGAUCAUGAGGAAGACCAGUGGCGAAGGCGGGUCUCUGGACAGUUCCUGACACUGAAACACGAAGGCCAGGGGAGCAAACGGG
rnacentral:rRNA from 1 species